UGGCCAAGGAUGAGAACUCUAACCUGAUUAAAUACGCUGCUCUGAUGGGUUAAAGGAUUUACCUGAGGCCA
ensembl:snoRNA